GUUGACCUCGGAUCAGGUAGGAAUACCCGCUGAACUUAAGCAUAUCAAAAAACCGGGAGGAAA
rnacentral:rRNA from 1 species